UACGUAGGGUGCAAGCGUUUAAUCGGAAUUACUGGGCGUAAAGCGUGCGCAGGCGGUUAUGCAAGACAGAUGUGAAAUCCCCGGGCUCAACCUGGGGAACUGCAUUUGGGACUGCAAGGCUGGAGUGCGGCAGAGGAGACUGGAAUUCCUGGUGUAGCAGUGAAAUGCGUAGAUAUCAGGAGGAACACCGAUGGCGAAGGCAGGUCUCUGGGCUGACACUGACGCUCAUGCACGAAAGCGUGGGGAGCAAACAGG
rnacentral:rRNA from 1 species